UAUCUGAAUUACUUCUUAACACAGCCUGCCAUGAACUUUUUUGAGAAAUUCACAAAAACCAAGAGAGACAAGCCUGUAGAUAAGGAAGUCGUGGAUCCUCAAGAUAAAGUCAAGAAGGACUUGCUGGAUACGGUCAUCUGGUUUCACUUUAAAGAAGGUUUCUCAAAUGCUGUUCGACGAAAUGUGAAAAUUCAAGAUUUGCUUUAACGUUGACCAUUGCACAAAGAAUGUCCUAUACAGAUAUAUUUACAUUGUAUAUCACCUACUGAAUAUGUUGAAAUGUGUGGACAUGUACUGUUUAGUGUUCUCACAGUUUCUGAAAGUGUUUCAAUAAAUAACAUUUGUCACACUU
rnacentral:sRNA from 1 species